ensembl:snRNA U6 U6 spliceosomal RNA
GUGCUCCCUUUGGCAGCACAUAUAACUGAAAUGAUACAGAGAUUAGCAUGACCCCUGCACAAGGAUGACACGCAAAUUCGUGAAGUGUUUCAUACAAAA